UAGGGAAUCUUCGGCAAUGGGGGGCAACCCUGACCGAGCAACGCCGCGUGAGUGAAGAAGGUUUUCGGAUCGUAAAGCUCUGUUGUAAGAGAAGAACGUGUGUGAGAGUGGAAGUUCACACAGUGACGGUAACUUACCAGAAAGGGACGGCUAACUACGUGCCAG
rnacentral:rRNA from 1 species